CUCAGUCGCAGCUCGUCCACACGGGCAACAACACUGAUGCUCAGAGACUUGAACAACUUUUUUUUCCGAGUGAACACAUUUUAACCUACUGGCAGCUGCUCUUUUCUUUUCCAAUUUGGGGCCGUACAUAAAGGUCGUCCACCGUUAAGGGGAGGCGAGGGUUCUGGAUUUUGGACGGAAAUGGACGGGAGGGAGGGGGGUUAAAAAUUUAUUGACGUCCAUUCCAAUAGAAUACAAUUUUUUGUAAUGCGCGGCUUAAUAAAGCAGACGAAAGUCUUUUUUUUCUUUCUCGAAACUCAUUUCAGCUGUUUUUGUUUCAUUAUUUAUUCGUCUUUUGCUACUCUUCCUAACGAAAUGUAAUCAAGACGCGAAAUACAGAAAAAGGAAUGUCAUUUUUACAUUUAAUUUUUUUUGGGGGGGUCACUGUUGGACGGCCUUUUUGGGAGGGGUCUGAACGUUUGGACGCUUUUUGGACGUGGGGGUUGGGGAGGGGGGGGUUCUACAAUGCGGAAAAAAUAGUGGAAGUCCUUUAUGUACGGCCCCUGUGUCAUCGGAACUAACGAAAAAAAAAACUUUUUUCCUGCACGCGUCGAUAAUUCUCCAAGUCAAAUCCAAUUUAUCCAUUUUAGCAUGGUCCUAUGCUUGUCACUGUUGUCUGCUAGUGUCCAGCAAGCAUUCGCAAUUUUCAAAAGUGUGGACACGAAAAGGCCAACAUUCACGGCCAUCCCCAUGCCGGUCAGUGCGUGGUUAAAGGCCAAGAUUAUGAACAUAAGGCUCCCAAAACCGUCAAUCAGGUCCGAUGAGGCCAGCAGGUUGGGUACUUCUUUUUGGGGAGGGGUAUGAACGUUUGGACGCUUUUUGGACGUGGGGGUUGGGGAGGGGGGGUCUACAAUGCGGAAAAUAUAGUGGAAGUCCUUUAUGUACGGCCCCUGUGUCAUCGGAACUAACGGAAAAAAAAACUUUUUUUCCUGCACGCGUCGAUUAUUCUCCAAGUCAAAUCCAAUUUAUCCAUUUUAGCAUGGUCCUAUGCUUUUCACUGUUGACUGCUAGUGUCCAGCAAGCAUUCGCAAUUUUCAAAAGUGUGGACACGAAAAGGCCAACAUUCACGGCCAUCCCCAUGCCGGUCAGUGCGUGGUUAAAGGCCAAGAUUAUGAACAUAAGGCUCCCAAAACCGUCAAUCAGGUCCGAUGAGACCAGCAGGUUCACCUGGGAAUUAAAGGUCUGUUAAAAUUAUCCCUCCAAAUCAUCCGAUUUGGAAAAAUUAAAUUAAAUCACCAGAACUUGUUCAAAAGGACAAAAAAAAACACAACAGACACAGCAAAUUGGAUUCAAAAAAUUAUUAUUAUUUCUUUUUUAAUUUCGCCAGUUUGUGCUCAGUGUAUUGGUUGAUAGUGGUGGUGGUUGGACACAUCCUCCCUUCAUAUCAAAUUGAAAAAGAGCGUCAGUUUUUUUUCAUUCUUUCUAGUGAGUGUGUCCCCGCGCGCUUCGGAUUUCAACGCCUCGUCAAAUAUAUCGUUCCUCUCUUAAUUGAAAACGUCUUACCAUUGAAUGGAGUACCCUCGUGUACCAUUGAAUAGUCCCAAUCGGACCAUAUACCCUAGGUGGCGUGGUUCCAAGGCUCCAGUUGCAGAUACAUAUAAGAUCCUGGCCUUUGGUAACUUUUUUUGCAGUUCCCGAACAGAUAGGCACACAAUUCUUUACCUGAUAGCAUUCAUCAAAAACUAUGACACCGUAAAAGUCAUAAUGGCACCAUUUUAGGAUCUGAUCCAUUCUUGUUUGGUAUUCUCCACGGGAAUGUGACUCUGCAAUUAAGCAAGGGUAAGUCGAGAAAAUGAUGCCGUUCUUGAUUCUUCCAUUAGCACUCCCCGAUAUUCUGUGACCGUAUUUUAUAUACUUCAAGGCAUGAACAGGAAUUUCUUUGCCGGCUCCAAUGUCUUGAAGAUCUCGUUCCACAGCGAACUUAAGGUCAUUGGAUACAGAUAUCCAGAUGGCCCUUUUCGAAAAUUU